rnacentral:rRNA from 1 species
AACGAACGUUAGCGGCGCGCUUAACACAUGCAAGUCGCACGAGAAAGGGCUUCGGCCCCGGUAAAGUGGCGCACGGGUGAGUAACACGUGGAUAACCUUCCCUUGAGCGGGGGAUAACAUUCCGAAAGGAGUGCUAAUACCGCAUAAGACCACGAUUCCGAAAGGAGACGAGGUUAAAGCCGGCCUCUGUACACAAGCUGGCACUCGAGGACGGGUCCGCGGCCCAUCAGCUAGUUGGUAGGGUAACGGCCUACCAAGGCUAAGACGGGUAGCUGGU